UGGGAAUGAUUGCACAAUGGGCGAAAGCCUGAUGCAGCAACGCCGCGUGAGGGACGACGGCCUUCGGGUUGUAAACCUCUUUUAGCAAGGAAGAAGCGAAAGUGACGGUACUUGCAGAAAAAGCGCCGGCUAACUACGUGCCAGCAGCCGCGGUAAUACGUAGGGCGCAAGCGUUAUCCGGAAUUAUUGGGCGUAAAGAGCUCGUAGGCGGUUUGUCGCGUCUGCUGUGAAAACCCGAGGCUCAACCUCGGGCCUGCAGUGGGUACGGGCAGACUAGAGUGCGGUAGGGAGAUUGGAACUCCUGGUGUAGCGGUGGAAUGCGCAGAUAUCAGGAAGAACACCGAUGGCGAAGGCAGAUCUCUGGGCCGUAACUGACGCUGAGGAGCGAAAGGUGGGGAGCAAAACAGGCUUAGAUACCCUGGUAGUCCACCCGUAAACGUUGGGAACUAGUUGUGGGUCCAUUCCACGGAUUCCGUGACGCAGCUAACGCAUUAAGUUCCCCGCCUGGGGAGUACGGCCGCAAGG
rnacentral:rRNA from 1 species